rnacentral:lncRNA from 1 species
AGCGCUGGUCGGAGCGCGAAGCAGAGGGGGCGCAGGCAGUGCUGGGCGCGGACUGCGAGCAGUGGGGCUGGCGGAGAGCCUUGGGGCGCCGUGAGGGGCACCCGCGAGCCCAGGGCGAAGAGUCCAACAAACAGACUGCGCUCCUGUGGCCUUACAGAUGGGCAGCAGGACUACAGGAUAGUACCCCUAAAUGGAGAGAGACUACAGGGCUGAUCAGAAAGGAUGAGAAACAAGAAAGAUACUCUUUAUUUCUGAAAGAGCACUACCUUAGAUAA